GGGGGCGCGGCGGCGGGCACGCGGUGGGAGGCCCGCGGGCGUGUGCGGGUGCGGCCUGGGGCACCCGCAGCGGGCCCGGCGCCGCGGCGGGCGUCCCGCGGCCCAGGGUGGGGGCGGCGGCGCCCACCAGCCGCCGUCCAGGCCGUCGUGCGAGCAGCUGAUGAUGGCGCGGCGGCGGCAGGCAGCUCUAGACUGGCGCAGUGGCGGCAGUGCCAGGCGGGCCGGGCCGCUGCGCGGGGGCAGGUAGUCCCAGCUGCCGGCGCGCCAGCCCCCGAGCUUGUCGACCGACCAGUAGCGGCCGGGCGGCGGCCCCAGGCGCUCGGCGUACGGGUAGGGGAAGUCGGCAAACCACCAGGGCUCCAGGCCGCCCAGCGACGCGCCGCCCAGGCUCUCCGAAUCCUCCGAGUCCGACGGCGAGGGUUCGAGGUCGAGAUUGGGAGUCGGAGGCCCAGGAAACUGAUCUGGACUGCCCUGGGUCCUUAUGCCAAGCCAUGCUUUCCACGGCUUGGCGGGAAGAGGGACAGGGAUGUGGGAUCUGGUCUCCAGCCCGGCACAUCAAGGAACAGCUACUCUUCUUCAGGAUUGCCACCCUUUUCAUGAAUUUCUGUGAUUAUCUGAUUCCUCUCAGCCUCUCCCACUAGAUUGUACGCCCCGGCCAGCCAGCCCCAUUCUCAGCUCUGGCCCCAGCACACUCUGGCACCUAGGGGUGAUCAAUAAAUAUUUGCAGAGUAAA